GGAAUAUAGCUCAGUUGGUUAGAGCGUGGUGCUGAUGACGCCAGGGACGCUGGGAUCUGGGACAGCGGCAUAUUCCU